UCACAUGAAAAUAUAGAUUUAUUUUAAUGGUAGCUAAGCAUUAAAAUAGUAAGCUCAAAAAAUUAAGAACAAUCCAUGUGAUAAUCCAAAAUUAAACUACAAUAACAAUAUCAAAAUAUAUUCAUAUUCUUAUCCUCAACCCCAGAACAAGGGCAAUUAACUACUAAUACUUGAAUUCAAUAUCAAAUACAAUUAAUUAACCAUACAUAAAAUAAAACUUACAAAGAAGAAGUGGAAAAGCAUGCCUAAAUAGAGAGAUUUAUGUGUAUAUCGAUAUGUACAUUGUUUGUUUUCUGUAUCGAAUGGUCUGGUAGCUCUCUUAUAUUGGUUUAUUUUCGUGUAUUUAUGCAUGGUACAGCAUAG
rnacentral:lncRNA from 1 species